AGGUCGUUUUGGGGGCAAUUUCGAAGUAGACCCUUGUAGCGCUCCCAUGCUUCAAACAGUGACUCCCUCACUUGUUGUUCAAAGUUAAAAAUGGCCUUUUUGAGCUU